GACGAACGCUGGCGGCGUGCUUAACACAUGCAAGUCGAACGGAAAGGCCCUGCUUUUGUGGGGUGCUCGAGUGGAGAACGGGUGAGUAACACGUGAGUAACCUGUCCUUGACUUUGGGAUAACUUAAGGAAACUGGGGCUAAUACCGGAUAGGAGCUCCUGCUGCAUGGUGGGGGUUGGAAAGUUUCGGCGGUUGGGGAUGGACUCGCGGCUUAUCAGCUUGUUGGUUGGGUAGUGGCUUACCAAGGCUUUGACGGGUAGCCGGCCUGAGAGGGUGACCGGCCACAUUAGGACUGAGAUACGGCCCAGACUCCUACGGGAGGCAACGGUGGGGAAUAUUGCACAAUAGGCGGAAGCCUGAUGCAGCAACGCCGCGUGCGGUAUGACGGCCUUCGGGUUGUAAACCGCUUUCGCCUGUGACGAAGCGUGAGUGACGGUAAUGGGUAAAGAAGCACCGGCUAACUACGUG
rnacentral:rRNA from 1 species